UGACCAACUCCCCAAGAUUCAAACUUUUCGUUUCUUUCCCCUGUAUACCAACUACAACGGAAGAGCAAGCUCGUACCUUGUCCUUGGGGUAACACUGCCUUUGCGAAUCUCAGCAACCUGAAGCAACUCAAUGCAAAAACCAUGAACACGAAGCGAUUCUUCGCCAGCAUGAUCAAGAAUUUGACAAAACUACCACAAGUGCUUCUGAGGGAACUUCAGUACAUGAUUUGGAAACAAAGUUGGCUCAAACUAUCUUGGUUUUGCAAAAGCUGUACCUACGUGAAUCAACCAAUGUGUGUAGUUGACAUUUGACACUAUAAUCCCACCACCCAGGUGUGAAAAUGGAUGAAACUAAUGUUGUGGAUUCUUUGGAAUUUACGCUAGGAAUGAAGUAAUAAGCUCUGCCUCUCACGAUCAGAUUCUGGUGUCCAAGUUUUGUUGCUCUAUCGCUCUCUCUCACAAAACAUCUACGGGAAAACGCCACUCCACAGCCGUUGAUCGACGCCAACUGCCCGCUCAGCCCACCAGCUCGCCUCCCUCUAAUCAAUCGUUCAAGUCGAUUUUGGUCUUUUCCCUAUUCUUUUGGAUUGCUCUGUGAGUAAGUCAUUCACUUUGAUUCUGCACAAAGAGUUGAACAGAAAGGCCACUUGACUGGAACAGCAGACAGAAAAUGUAACAGUGCAGAUUUCUUCAGUGCUUGAGGGAAUCACACAGUAAAUCAUGUAAUAUGUCCUAGAUGUCAGAAUCUUUGUAUCUGAAACCCAACUCUUUCACUUAUUAUCUUGCAAUAGAUUUCACACUGAAUUGGAUCAUUCUUAACACACCUAAUAGAAUCUUGGCUGUCAGCCUCAUAGGAGCUCAAAUUCUGUCUCACUGAUGCAUCUAGUGUGCAUCUAUAGUUUGCUAAUUGGAAUCAUUUUUUAGAGGAAUUUCCUUCUUUCAUCAUUUUCUCAA